rnacentral:lncRNA from 1 species
UGGUUUUUCCCUUAAUUUAUUUUCUUGACCUUCCAACUGGAUUUGGAGAAAUCUAAUUUAUUGCCCACCAGUCCUCUGAAGACUGGUCACUGACAUCCUUUGAUUGAUGGCUAAAGGUGGACUUGCCCUUGCCCACUGCCCUCUCCCCUUCAAGGAGGAUGGCCUUCAGUAAACCAUGGUGGCCAGAGACACACCUCAUUGAAUUCUAGAAGAUACAGUCUCUCCCUGGCUUGGUAGAGAGGCUGCAGGCCAGAAUAAACACCGCAGAUGGAGCUGGAGCAGGGAGAGGGGCGCUUAGGUAGAGGGCAUGGCCAGUCUUGUACUCAACAGCCAGGCUCUUGAACUCCCUGGGUAGAACAUUGGUAGAUGAAACAGGUAGGAUAGGAUGAGACUGGGGCUCAAUGGGCUUCAGUCCACUGAGGUCCCUAAUGUGGAUCUCAGGGUGUUGCCAACUAUUUCUGUCUCCCCAGCUCUGCUCCAGUGACCUGAGCCAGUUUGGUCAAAUUGCCAUUUGGUCAAGCCAUUUCAUUGCCCAUAGAAUGACUGGCCAGCACACUUUGAAAAGCAGUGAUAGGUGUAGAAGGGCCAGGGCCUCUGUAUGAACUGUGCAGUGGACUGGGAUGACACUGGAACUGAGGGAAAGCACCACAUGUUAGCCCAGCUGUGAUGCUGCAGAAGUGCUGAUCCCACACCAUGCAUGGGUGCGUUUCCCUAGGGACGAUGGAUGGAAGAGACUUGGAUACCAGUGAUCUAGGCUUCAGUCUCUCCUGGGAUAGUGCCCCCAUCCUUACGAAGUAAUAGCCUUAAGCAAGUUUCCCAGAGUCCCACACCUGACUCCCUGAAUCUUUCUUGUUCCGGCCAUAGCACUGGGCCAAGAGCUUUGUUGCAUCAGCCUCCGACUCAGUCCUCAUGUCAUAGAGUAGCUGCUCCAACAGCAGCUGGUACCAGCCCUACCCAUCUAGGAGCUCAUUCCAUUCCUUUAACCUCGUGUGGAGAAAGAAACGAGUCUAGAGUGUUCAGAAAAAUUGAGUGUUCGGUAGGCCAGGCUCAGGACGGGAGAGAGACCUGUAUGUGACAUGCUUACACGCAUGUAAAGGUGUUCUAUGAUGUAUAGACAGGAAGGCAGUAGAGCCCAUUUAAUUGUGAGUGUAAAUAACAUGUACAGAGUGCUUGUAAAUCUCUAUAGUUAGUUGUUGCCCACAGAACAUUUUAAUUGGCUUUUUGUUGAAGUGUGGGAUUCAUCAUCUACAGGGAGAGAUGCAUUUUAUCAGUUUCUCAUAGUUUUCUACAGUUGCCAAAACAUUACCACAAACUUGAGAGCUUAAAGCAAAAGAAAUUAGCUGGGUGUGGUGGUGCAUGCCUAUAAUUCCAGCACAGGCUGAGGCAGAAAGAUCAAAAGUUCAAGGCCAGCCUGGGCUAAAAAAAAAAAAAAGCAAGACCUUGUCUCAAAAAGCAGAGCAUCCAGGCAUGGUGCUUGUCUAUAAUGCCAGCAGGAGUGUUGCAAGUUUGAGGACAGCCAAGGCUACAUUGUGAGACCCUGUUUGAAAACAACAAAAAUGUAGACUGUUACAUGCGCCCUCUGAGGCUUUGGUGGGAAGCCUAUUCCUGCCUCUUGUGGCUUGGUAUGGCUCUAACCUCU